rnacentral:rRNA from 1 species
GAUGAACGCUGGCGGCGUGCCUAAUACAUGCAAGUCGAGCGGAUGGAAGGAAGCUUGCUUCCUAAAGUCAGCGGCGGACAGGUGAGUAACACGUGGGCAACCUGCCCCUAAGAUCGGGAUAACUUCGGGAAACCGGAGCUAAUACCGGAUAUGAUUAUGUCUCACAUGAGACAUAAUGGAAAGACGGUUUCGGCUGUCACUUAGGGAUGGGCCCGCGGCGCAUUAGCUAGUUGGUGAGGUAACGGCUCACCAAGGCGACGAUGCGUAGCCGACCUGGGAGGGUGAUCGGCCACACUGGGACUGAGACACGGCCCAGACUCCGACGGGAGGCAGCAGUAGGGAAUCUUCCGCAAUGGACGAAAGUCUGACGGAGCAACGCCGCGUGAGUGAAGAAGGUUUUCGGAUCGUAAAACUCUGUUGUUAGGGAAGAACAAGUACCAUAGUAACUGAUGGUACCUUGACGGUACCUAACCAGAAAGCCACGGCUAACUACGUGCCAGCAGCCGCAGUAAGAC